AUACUUAACUGGCAGGGGAUAUUUUCCCAGGGUGAGGCUUAUCUGUUGCACUCUGGAUGUGCUGACCCCUGUGAUUUCCCCAAAUGUGGGAAACUCGACUGCAUAAUUUGUGGUAGUGGGGGACUGUGUUCGAGCUUCCCCCCC
rnacentral:snRNA from 1 species